AAGAUACGGUAUAUAGGAAAAUGACCUAUGAAUUGAUAGACUGUGACUUUUAAAUUUGUCUGUCAGUUCUGUAGGCCAAUUUUCUGUAUGCCUUAACUGCUUUGGAACCAG
ensembl:miRNA